rnacentral:rRNA from 1 species
UACGUAGGGACCGAGCGUUGUCCGGAAUCAUUGGGCGUAAAGAGCGUGUAGGCGGCCACUUAAGUCCUGCGUGAAAUCUUGCGGCUCAACCGCAAGCGGUCGUGGGAAACUGGGUGGCUAGAGUGCGGGAGAGGAGAGUGGAAUUCCUGGUGUAGCGGUGGAAUGCGCAGAUAUCAGGAAGAACACCCGUGGCGAAGGCGGCUCUCUGGACCACAACUGACGCUGAGGCGCGAAAGCGUGGGGAGCAAACAGG